AUUGAACGCUGGCGGCAUGCUUUACACAUGCAAGUCGAACGGCAGCGGGGACUUCGGCCUGCCGGCGAGUGGCGAACGGGUGAGUAAUGCAUCGGAACGUGCCCAGUCAUGGGGGAUAACUACGCGAAAGCGUAGCUAAUACCGCAUACGCCCUGAGGGGGAAAGUGGGGGAUCUUAGGACCUCACGUGAUUGGAGCGGCCGAUGUCAGAUUAGCUAGUUGGUGAGGUAAAGGCUCACCAAGGCGACGAUCUGUAGCGGGUCUGAGAGGAUGAUCCGCCACACUGGGACUGAGACACGGCCCAGACUCCUACGGGAGGCAGCAGUGGGGAAUUUUGGACAAUGGGCGCAAGCCUGAUCCAGCCAUGCCGCGUGAGUGAAGAAGGCCUUCGGGUUGUAAAGCUCUUUCGCGAGGGAAGAAAACGGCAAGGUUAAUACCUUUGUCGGCUGACGGUACCUUGAUAAGAAGCACCGGCUAACUACGUGCCAGCAGCCGCGGUAAUACGUAGGGUGCGAGCGUUAAUCGGAAUUACUGGGCGUAAAGCGUGCGCAGGCGGUUUUGUAAGACAGAUGUGAAAUCCCCGGGCUUAACCUGGGAACUGCGUUUGUGACUGCAAGGCUAGAGUACGGCAGAGGGGGGUGGAAUUCCACGUGUAGCAGUGAAAUGCGUAGAUAUGUGGAGGAACACCGAUGGCGAAGGCAGCCCCCUGGGCCUGUACUGACGCUCAUGCACGAAAGCGUGGGGAGCAAACA
rnacentral:rRNA from 1 species